rfam:Clostridium botulinum E3 str. Alaska E43, complete genome.
UCAAGCAUGAGGUUAAAUCUGAAGGAAGACCAAGGCAAACCUUGGUCUGAGGUAUACGAAUCACAUUUGAGGCUCAAACCUAUGGGUAAACUUGCUAAACAAAGUAAAGCCUUACAACUAUCAGAAAUAGCUAGAGUAAAUGUGACAGGUUUGAGCAAACUUA